AGAUAUGAUUAUAUGUUUGACUCUCUCUUUCUUGACAUCAGUGCACACAUGCUUGAAUUUAUUGGCAAGAAGAUGGUUUUGAAGAGAAUGAGAACUGUUUAGAUUAUUUUUUGGUAGGCUGGGACAGGCACAUGGGCACUAUAAUCAUCAAAGGAGAUGUAAUAUGUGAGUGUUAAGACAAACANGAUAUACCAAAAACUUUGCCCCGAUUUGGUGUUUGGAAAAACGAACAUGGGGUUUGGAUCUAUGGAAAAUAAGGUGAAAAAUUCCAGUGAGAUUCACAAAGCUGCCCCGGUCCUGAGAUUAUGGGUUGAUGUGUUUCAGGGCGAAGACACGUGGUGAGAUCCACAAAGUUGCCCCAAUUUUUUUCUUUAGCUUAGGGUUCUGUUUGGAAGGGGUGGUGGGUAUGAAAAAGAUUGGAUAAAAGGAUGAACCCAAUUGGUUGGAUUUUCUUUUGCAUGUUUCUGGCUUGUUGGCAGGGAGACCCCCUCUUCCUGAGACAUUACUUUUUUCUUCUUUUUUUUUACGACACUGUGAAAGUCGCCUUAUCG
rnacentral:lncRNA from 1 species